AUUAUAUGUAAAAAAACCCUCAAAUUCGUCUUAAAGGGAGGCAAACGACAAAGGGAAGCUCUUUCAAAAGCUGAGACCUUAACAGCAGGCAAGUUGCAGACUGCUGCUGAGACUAAAGAUGACCACAGUAUUCUGGUACACAUUAAGGACAAAGACUGUGUGGCUCUGGAGGUGCAGUACCACAAGAGCUGCUACCAGCAGUACACCAGAUUUCUGAAUGAGCCUGCUAGACAAGAGAAGGACAAGUCAUUGCCUGGAUGCUGACCCCUGCCUUUUUGCACCGUGCCACAGGACUUUUAUAUAUUUUUAUAUAUAUUUUUUUGUGUAUAUA